rnacentral:rRNA from 1 species
CCUACGUGAGGCAGCAGUGAGGAAUAUUGGUCAAUGGGCUUACGCCUGAACCAGCCAAGUCGCGUGAGGGAAGACUGCCCUAUGGGUUGUAAACCUCUUUUGUCAGGGAGCAACGCCGGCUACGUGUAGCCGGACUGAGAGUACCUGAAGAAAAAGCAUCGGCUAACUCCGUGCCAGCAGCCGCGGUAAUACGGAGGAUGCGAGCGUUAUCCGGAUUUAUUGGGUUUAAAGGGUGCGUAGGCGGAAUGCCAAGUCAGCGGUAAAAUCGCGGGGCUCAACCUCGCUCCGCCGUUGAAACUGGCGUUCUUGAGUGGGCGAGAAGUAUGCGGAAUGCGGGGUGUAGCGGUGAAAUGCAUAGAUAUCACGCAGAACUCCGAUUGCGAAGGCAGCAUAUCGGCGCCCAACUGACGCUGAAGCACGAAAGCGUGGGUAUCGAACAGGAUUAGAUACCCUAGUAGUC